rfam:Geobacter pickeringii strain G13, complete genome.
GUCCGCGAACCGUGAGGAAACGUCUCCCCUUGCGGAUCCGGCGCAAUACCAGAGAAAAGGAG